rnacentral:rRNA from 1 species
UAGUAGGUCAGAGGUGAAUCCCAGGGCUCAACCCUGGAACUGCCUUUGAUACUGCUAGUCUUGAGUUCGAGAGAGGUGAGUGGAAUUCCGAGUGUAGAGGUGAAAUUCGUAGAUAUUCGGAGGAACACCAGUGGCGANNCGGCUCACUGGCUCGAUACUGAC